GAGCGGAUCUUCUCCUUCGGGGGAAGGUUAGCGGCGGACGGGUGAGUAACACGUAGGCAACCUGCCUGCAAGACUGGGAUAACAUUCGGAAACGAAUGCUAAGACCGGAUACGCAAGUAUGAGGCAUCUCGGACUUGGGAAAGACGGAGCAAUCUGUCACUUGCAGAUGGGCCUGCGGCGCAUUAGCUAGUUGGUGAGGUAACGGCUCACCAAGGCGACGAUGCGUAGCCGACCUGAGAGGGUGACCGGCCACACUGGGACUGAGACACGGCCCAGACUCCUACGGGAGGCAGCAGUAGGGAAUCUUCCACAAUGGGCGAAAGCCUGAUGGAGCAACGCCGCGUGAGUGAGGAAGGCUUUCGGGUCGUAAAGCUCUGUUGCCAGGGAAGAACAAGCGGGAGAGUAACUGCUCUCGCAAUGACGGUACCUGAGAAGAAAGCCCCGGCUAACUACGUGCCAGCAGCCGCGGUAAU
rnacentral:rRNA from 1 species